rnacentral:rRNA from 2 species
GACGAACGCUGGCGGCGUGCCUAAUACAUGCAAGUCGAGCGAACAGAAGGGAGCUUGCUCCCGGAUGUUAGCGGCGGACGGGUGAGUAACACGUGGGUAACCUGCCUGUAAGACUGGGAUAACUCCGGGAAACCGGAGCUAAUACCGGAUAGUUCCUUGAACCGCAUGGUUCAAGGAUGAAAGACGGUUUCGGCUGUCACUUACAGAUGGACCCGCGGCGCAUUAGCUAGUUGGUGGGGUAAUGGCUCACCAAGGCGACGAUGCGUAGCCGACCUGAGAGGGUGAUCGGCCACACUGGGACUGAGACACGGCCCAGACUCCUACGGGAGGCAGCAGUAGGGAAUCUUCCGCAAUGGACGAAAGUCUGACGGAGCAACGCCGCGUGAGUGAUGAAGGUUUUCGGAUCGUAAAGCUCUGUUGUUAGGGAAGAACAAGUGCGAGAGUAACUGCUCGCACCUUGACGGUACCUAACCAGAAAGCCACGGCUAACUACGUGCCAGCAGCCGCGGUAAUACGUAGGUGGCAAGCGUUGUCCGGAAUUAUUGGGCGUAAAGGGCUCGCAGGCGGUUUCUUAAGUCUGAUGUGAAAGCCCCCGGCUCAACCGGGGAGGGUCAUUGGAAACUGGGAAACUUGAGUGCAGAAGAGGAGAGUGGAAUUCCACGUGUAGCGGUGAAAUGCGUAGAGAUGUGGAGGAACACCAGUGGCGAAGGCGACUCUCUGGUCUGUAACUGACGCUGAGGAGCGAAAGCGUGGGGAGCGAACAGGAUUAGAUACCCUGGUAGUCCACGCCGUAAACGAUGAGUGCUAAGUGUUAGGGGGUUUCCGCCCCUUAGUGCUGCAGCUAACGCAUAAGCA